GGGUUUUUAGAGUUUUGGAUUGGCUCAGAUUGAACGCUGGCGGCAGGCCUAACACAUGCAAGUCGAGCGGUAGAGAGGUGCUUGCACCUCUUGAGAGCGGCGGACGGGUGAGUAAUGCCUAGGAAUCUGCCUGGUAGUGGGGGAUAACGCUCGGAAACGGACGCUAAUACCGCAUACGUCCUACGGGAGAAAGCAGGGGACCUUCGGGCCUUGCGCUAUCAGAUGAGCCUAGGUCGGAUUAGCUAGUUGGUGAGGUAAUGGCUCACCAAGGCGACGAUCCGUAACUGGUCUGAGAGGAUGAUCAGUCACACUGGAACUGAGACACGGUCCAGACUCCUACGGGAGGCAGCAGUGGGGAAUAUUGGACAAUGGGCGAAAGCCUGAUCCAGCCAUGCCGCGUGUGUGAAGAAGGUCUUCGGAUUGUAAAGCACUUUAAGUUGGGAGGAAGGGCCAUUACCUAAUACGUGAUGGUUUUGACGUUACCGACAGAAUAAGCACCGGCUACU
rnacentral:rRNA from 1 species